rnacentral:rRNA from 1 species
UCUGGUUGAUCCUGCCAGACCCGAAUGCUAUCGGUGUGGUACUAAGCCAUGCAAGCCUAAAGAUAGCAAUAUCUUGGCAUACGGCUCAGUAACACGUGGAGAAUCUGCCCUAUGGUCCACAAUAACCCCGGGAAUGCUGGGGACAAUGGUGGAUAUCCGAGGUUGCCUGGAAUGGUUCCUCGUUGAAAGACCCGUCGCCAUAGGAUGACUCCGCGGCCGAUUACGCUUGACGGUGGGGUAACGGCCCACCGUGGCUCUGAUCGGUACCGGCCAUGUAAGUGGGAGCCGGGAGACAUAUACUGAGACAAGGAUAUGAGCCCUACGGGGUGCAGCAGGCGAGAAAACUCUACAAUCCGCGCAAGCGGGAUAGGGCUACUCCGAGUGCCAACCCUAAGAAGGAUGGCUGUGGCGGGAUAUACACAGUCCCGCAAGAAAGGAGAGGGCAAGGCUGGUGCCAGCCGCCGCGGUAAAACCAGCUCUUCAAGUGUUCGGGACUAUUAUUGAGCUUAAAGCACUCGUAGCCGGACUUUUAAGUCCCCGGUUAAAUACACGAGCUCAACUCGUGUUUCGCUGGGGAUACUGGAAGUCUUGGGAGCGGAAGAGGUAGCGGGUACCUAUGGGGUAGCGGUGAAAUGCGAUAAUCCCAUGGGGACCACCGGUGGCGAAGGCGCGCUACUAGGACGCGUCCGACGGUGAUGGGUGAAAGCCUGGGGAGCGAACGGGAUUAGAUACCCCGGUAGUCCAGGCUGUAAACGAUGCCCGUUAAGUGUAACACGAGCCAAGAGCUUGUAUUGUGCUGAAGAGAAAUCGUUAAACGGGCCGCUUGGGGAGUACGGUCGCAAGGCUGAAACUUAAAGGAAUUGACGGGGGAAUACCACAAGGGGUGAAGCCUGCGGUUUAAUUGGACCCAACGCCGGGAAACUUACCAGGGGCGAUAGACGAAUGAGGGUCAGGCUGACGACCUUACCCGACGGUCUAAGAGGUAGUGCAUGGCCAUCGCCAGUUCGUGCCGUGAGGUGUCUUGUUAAGUCAAGCAACGAACGAAACCCGUGCUGCUAAUUGCUACCGAUAACGUUAUGACGUUCCGGGCACAUUAGCGGGACCGCCACUGCUAAAGUGGAGGAAGGUGCGGGCCACGGUAGGUCAGUAUGCUCCGAAUCCACCUGGGCCACACGCGGGCUGCAAAGGCUGGUACAAUGGGCUGCGACGCCGAAAGGCGGAGCUAAUCUCGAAAGCCAGUCUCAGUCGGGAUAGUGGGCUGCAACUCGCCCUCUUGAACUUGGAAUCCCUAGUAGUCGCAUGUCAUCAUCGUGCGGCGAAUGUGUCUCUAUUCCUUGCACACACCGCCCGUCGCUUCAUGCGAGUGGUUUUGGGGAAAGGCGCUCUCCAUGAGGGAGUGUCUAUCCUUGGGGCCGCAAGUAGGAAGAAGUCGUAACAAGGUA